rnacentral:rRNA from 1 species
UACGUAGGGACCAAGCGUUGUCCGGAAUCAUUGGGCGUAAAGCGCGCGUAGGCGGCCCGGUAAGUCCGCUGUGAAAGUCAAAGGCUCAACCUUUGAAUGUCAGCGGAUACUGCCGGGCUAGAGUCCGGAAGAGGCGAGUGGAACUCCUGGUGUAGCGGUGGAAUGCGCAGAUAUCAGGAAGAACACCAACGGCGAAGGCAGCUCGCUGGGACGGAACUGACGCUAAGGCGCGAAAGCGUGGGGAGCGAACAGG